GGGGCCGACUUGGAUUCGACGGUGAUUGGAAGGCUGACGUGCAUGCCGAGGUGCAGUGGUCCUCGUAAAACUCUUCUGCAACUAAGCUAGUUGCUAACGACGCAAACUACGCCCUCGCCGCUUAAGCGGUGAGCGUUUGACCAGGUGGUGUUGGUACCCCUGAAUCAGACGUCGACUCUUACCAAAUCGCGCAGCGGAGGGCUACUGGCCAAAGCGUUAAAUCCAAAAAGUAGAUAAGCGUUAGCGUUCCGUGCCCAUUCGGCAGCUAACGACGAAAAAUAAUAAUCGGGCUACGCAUGUAGAUCGAAUGUUGGAAGGUUAUCGGACGGGGGUUCAAUUCCCCCCGGCUCCACCA
rnacentral:tmRNA from 1 species